rnacentral:tmRNA from 1 species
GGGGACGCUACGGAUUCGACAGGGGUAGUCGAGCUUGAGUUGCGAGCCGGGGGGAUCGUCCUCGUAAUCAACGUCAAGUUAAAUAUAACUGGCAAACAAAACAACAACUUAGCUUUCGCUGCGUAAGUAGCGCAUAGCUUGCCUCACUCUCCAUCGCCCAUGUGGAGUCCUGGGGCUCACUAGAGUGGGAUACGCCUGAUUCUGCCGUCUGAGGAUGAGGGAAGAGAUUUACAGACUAGCUACUCGGACGCCUGUCGGCAGGCAUAAGAAGUAGCGAAACGUAAAUAUGCCGACUACGCUCGUAGACGCUUAAGUAGCGAUAUCUUUGGACGUGGGUUCGAUUCCCACCGUCUCCACCA